rnacentral:rRNA from 1 species
AACGAACGCUGGCGGCGCGCCUAAUACAUGCAAGUCGAGCGAGAAGGUGUAGCAAUACACUUGUAAAGCGGCGAACGGGUGAGGAAUACAUGGGUAAUCUACCAUCGAGUGGGGGAAUAACCAGCCGAAAGGUUGGCUAAUACCGCGUACGCCUCCGGAUCUUCGGGUUCGGAGGGGAAAAGCCACACUGUGAGUGCGGCGCUCUUUGAUGAGCUCAUGUCCUAUCAGCUUGUUGGUAGGGUAACGGCCUACCAAGGCUUUGACGGGUAGCUGGUCUGAGAGGACGAUCAGCCACACUGGCACUGCGACACGGGCCAGACUCCUACGGGAGGCUG